UAUUUAAUGCAGGGGUGCCAAAAGGCUGAGAAGAAUGAUCUAACCCUUAGAACCUGUUAACGGGUAAUGCCGUAUAGGAAGCAUAUAUAGUGCAUGU
rnacentral:ncRNA from 1 species